rnacentral:lncRNA from 10 species
AGGAAAGAGGUUUAAUUGACUCAGAGUUCCAUAUGGCUGGGGAGGCCUUGCGAUCAUGCAGAUGGCGAAUGAGGAGCAAAAACACAUCUUACAUGGUGGCAGAAGAUUCCAUGAAGCUCAUCACCAGGUUAGAGAAAAAAGGAUCCUUCAGCAGCUAAGGUGAAGAUACCAUCCAGGAUGCAGAAAUGGGACCUGGAAAGACUCCGUAUUCCUUUUAGGGAAGAAAAGGUCCAUCUCGAAUUACCUCAUUGUUCAGAGAAUAAUAAGUAUUUGUUCAGCAAUAACAA